rnacentral:rRNA from 2 species
CCGGGUUUCUGCAUGUUGACGGAUAUUUUAGUUCGCUAAAAUAUUUAGUAGCAAAUGGGUGAGUAACACGUACCUAACCUACCUUUUGGACUGGGAUAACCAUUGGAAACAGUGGCUAAUACCGGAUAUGAUAAAAAUUUGCAUGAAUUUUUAUUCAAAGGAGCCUUCAAGCUUCACCAAGAAAUGGGGGUGCGCAACAUUAGUUAGUUGGUAGGGUAAAAGCCUACCAAGACGAUGAUGUUUAGCGGGGCCAAGAGGUUGUACCGCCACACUGGGAUUGAGAUACGGCCCAGACUCCUACGGGAGGCAGCAGUAAGGAAUAUUCCACAAUAAGCGAAAGCUUGAUGA